AUACGGCGGAUGCAAGCGUUAUCCGGAUUUAUUGGGUUUAAAGGGUGCGUAGGCGGAUGAUUAAGCGUGAGGUGAAAUGCCACUGCUCAACAGUGGAACUGCCUCGCGAACUGGUUGUCUUGAAUGCUCCUGCCGUGGGAGGAAUGUGUGGUGUAGCGGUGAAAUGCAUAGAGAUCACACAGAACACCGAUUGCGAAGGCAUCUCACGAAGGGGUGAUUGACGCUGAGGCACGAAAGCGUGGGGAUCAAACAGGAUUAGAUACCCUGGUAGUCCACGCAGUAAACGAUGAUAACUAACCGCUGGGUCGUAGUGAUUCAGUGGCCAAGCGAAAGCGAUAAGUUAUCCACCUGGGGAGUACGACCGCAAGGUUGAAACUCAAAGGAAUUGACGGGG
rnacentral:rRNA from 1 species